UGGGCAGGAUGCAACACACACAGGACAGCAACACGUCCGCAUGGAACGGCUGCCUCUGCCCCAAUGCCGGCAGAGGACACGGCGUCAGGAUGGGUGGGAACGGAGGCCCCUCGCACGGGCCUCACCCCGAAGGGCACCCCCGAGGCUCGAAGUACUGCCCGCCUCGCCGGCCGAAAAACAUCCCCCAAGCCUGAAGGGAAGAAGCUGCAUCGUGCCGAGCAUUCUGGAUAGAAGCUAAUGGAGCUGCCUGAUCCCAGAGUGAAGACAACAUGCAGCAAAGCUACAGCUGACCUGGGAAGGACACAAAGUGUAAGCUCUGCACCUAACGUGGGGCUUGAAUCCUUGACCCUGAGAUCAAGAGUCACGUGCUCUACCGACAGAGCCAGCCAGGCGCUGCCUAUACCACAACUUCUCUAUCCAUACAUCCGUCAGUGGACAGUUAGGUUGUUUCCAUGUCUUGGCUGUUGUAAAUAAUGCUGCUAUGAACAUGGGGU